GGACUACUAGGGUUUCUAAUCCUGUUUGCUCCCCACGCUUUCGCACCUCAGCGUCAGUAUCUGCCCAGGUCGCCGCCUUCGCCACUGGUGUUCCUCCCGAUAUCUACGAAUUUCACCUCUACACCGGGAAUUCCGCGACCCUCUUCAGUACUCAAGCCUGCCAGUUUCGAGUGCACUUCCUGGGUUGAGCCCAGGGAUUUCACACCCGACUUAACAGGCCGCCUACGUGCGCUUUACGCCCAAUGAUUCCGAGCAACGUUUGCACCCUCCGUAUUACCGCGGCUGCUGGCAC
rnacentral:rRNA from 1 species